rnacentral:rRNA from 1 species
GAUGAACGCUGGCGGCGUGCCUAAUACAUGCAAGUCGAGCGAACAGACGAGGAGCUUGCUCCUCUGACGUUAGCGGCGGACGGGUGAGUAACACGUGGAUAACCUACCUAUAAGACUGGGAUAACUUCGGGAAACCGGAGCUAAUACCGGAUAAUAUAUUGAACCGCAUGGUUCAAUAGUGAAAGACGGUUUUGCUGUCACUUAUAGAUGGAUCCGCGCCGCAUUAGCUAGUUGGUAAGGUAACGGCUUACCAAGGCAACGAUGCGUAGCCGACCUGAGAGGGUGAUCGGCCACACUGGAACUGAGACACGGUCCAGACUCCUACGGGAGGCAGCAGUAGGGAAUCUUCCGCAAUGGGCGAAAGCCUGACGGAGCAACGACGCGUGAGUGAUGAAGGUCUUCGGAUCGUAAAACUCUGUUAUUAGGGACGAACAAAUGUGUAAGUAACUAUGCACGUAUUGACGGUACCUAAUCAGAAAGCCACGGCUAACUACGUG